rnacentral:rRNA from 1 species
AGAGUUUGAUCCUGGCUCAGAACGAACGUUGGCGGCGUGGAUUAGGCAUGCAAGUCGAACGAAGACGUCUUGGGUAGCAAUAUUUGAGACGGACUGAGUGGCGAAAGGGGCAGUAAUGCGUGGGUAACCUACCCUGGGGAUGGGCAUAGCCGGACUAACGUCCGGGUAAUUCCCAGCGACGUAGCGAGAGGACAUCCUCUUGCUACCAAAUGAAUUUCGCCCUGGGAGGGGCUCACGUCGUAUUAGCUUGUUGGCGGGGUAACGGCCCACCAAGGCUAAGAUGCGUAGCGGGUGUGAGAGCACGACCCGCGCCACUGGCACUGAGACACUGGCCAGACACCUACGGGUGGCUGCAGUCGAGGAUCUUCGGCAAUGGGCGCAAGCCUGACCGAGCGACGCCGCGUGUGCGAUGAAGGCCUUCGGGUUGUAAAGCACUGUCGAGGGGGAUAAAACCGCAAGGUUGAUAGAUCCCUGGAGGAAGCACGGGCUAAGUUCGUGCCAGCAGCCGCGGUAAGACGAACCGUGCGAACGUUGUUCGGAAUCACUGGGCUUAAAGGGCGCGUAGGCGGUUUGCCAAGUCAGGGGUGAAAUCCUGCAGCUCAACUGUAGAAGUGCCUUUGAUACUGGCGAACUCGAGGGAGGUAGGGGUGGGUGGAACUUCUGGUGGAGCGGUGAAAUGCGUUGAUAUCAGAAGGAACGCCGGUGGCGAAAGCGACCCACUGGAUCUCUACUGACGCUGAGGCGCGAAAGCUAGGGGAGCAAACGGGAUUAGAUACCCCCGUAGUCC